UGUGAGAGGGGGCUUGCUCCCGAUGACCGUGUGUCAGGCAUGCAUAAGUUGCCUGAUACGCCGCUAUCGGGAGCAAGCCCCCUCCCACA
rnacentral:misc_RNA from 1 species